rnacentral:rRNA from 1 species
CCUACGGGAGGCAGCAGUGGGGGAUAUUGCACAAUGGGGGAAACCCUGAUGCAGCGACGCCGCGUGAGCGAUGAAGUAUCUCGGUAUGUAAAGCUCUAUCAGCAGGGAAGAAAAUGACGGUACCUGACUAAGAAGCCCCGGCUAACUGCGUGCCAGCAGCCGCGGUAAUACGUAGGGGGCAAGCGUUAUCCGGAUUUACUGGGUGUAAAGGGAGCGUAGACGGCAGUGCAAGUCUGAAGUGAAAGGCAGGGCUCAACCCUUGGACUGCUUUGGAAACUGUGCUGC